AGUGAUGAUGUAUGCUGGCGUGCCGAUAUGCGUUGGUAUACAGAGCUUUCGGGAGGGGUUUGUGCAGUGUAACCUCAAAUCGGUGUAGGCUGAAAGCUGAAAGAAAAUGCACAA
rnacentral:sRNA from 1 species